rnacentral:ribozyme from 13 species
CUUCUUCAUCUUCUCCUUCUUCUUCUACUUCUUCUCUUCCAACCUCAACUCAAGGAUUGAAAAAGAAAGGAGGAAGAUGGGGAGCAGGAGGAGCGGGAGAAGAAGAAGGACCCAAAGUAGAGAGAAGAGCUCCUCCCACUCCCGUUCAUUCUUCUUCUCCUUCUUCUUCUUCUGGUCCUAAUUCUCUUUUUGCUGGGUUGGAAGUGAAAGAA